rnacentral:lncRNA from 1 species
UAGCUCUGCUUUAAAAGUUUUAUUAGCAUAUUUUAUUUUUACAUUAUUCAUAUUUAUUUCCCAGGAAAGAAAGAAAGAAAGAAAGAAAGAAAGAAAGAAAGAAAGAAAGAAAGAAAGAAAGAAAGAAAGAAAGAAAGAAAGAAAGAAAGAAAGAAAGAAAGAAAGAAAGAAAGAAAGAAAGAAAGAAAGAAAGAAAGAAAGAAAGAAAGAAAGAAAGAAGGAAGAAAAGAAGAGAAAGAAAGAAAGAAAGAAAGAAAGAAAGAAAGAAAGAAAGAAAGAAAGAAAGAAAGAAAGAAAGAAAGAAAGAAAGAAAGAAAGAAAGAAAGAAAGAAAGAAAGAAAGAAAGAAAGAAAGAAAGAAAGAAAGAAAGAAAGAAAGAAAGAAAGAAAGAAAGAAAGAAAGAAAGAAAGAAAAGAAAGAGAGGGAGGAAGGGAGGGAGGAAGGGAGGGAGGGAGGAAGGAAGGAGGAAGGAAGGAAGGAAGGAAGGAAGGAAGGAAGGAAGGAAGGAAGGAAGGAAGGAAGGAAGGAAGGAAGGAAGGAAGGAAGGAAGGAAGGAAGGAAGGAAGGGAGGGAGGAAGGAAGGAAGGAAGGAAGGAAGGAGCCCAGACCAACUAUGUCCACUUCCUCAUUUCGCUCCAUUCUCUAGUUCUCUAGUUCUGACUCUGUGGACUUAUUUCUCCACAAUUACUGAAAUCCAGUAUCUUUCUAAGUUUUGAACUUCUCUUCACACAUUGUCUUCCCACAGUACAAUAUAAGUUAAUCGAUGGCAGGAACUGCCUUUUUGCUUCUAUGUGUAUUCCCACUGCUUUACACAAUGCUUGGCACAGACUAAGCACAUAAUAAAUACCUAAUAACUAGAUUAUAAAAUAAUUAA